rnacentral:misc_RNA from 1 species
AAGUCGUAACAAGGUAUCCGUAGGUGAACCUGCGGAUGGAUCAUUAUCAAAACGUUAUCCACGUAUAAACCAAUCUUAUCGUGAACUGUUUGUAUGCCUUUCGAAGUAGAGGAGGAACGGGGCCUUUCGGGGACCUUACUACUCUUUGAAACGAAAGCGUAUAAUUACUUCAUAAACAUUAACCAAUUGAACCAUUUCUAAAUGAAAUUGUUUUUUAUCUUCUUUGUGUGAACUGAAUUGUUUCUUACUCGUAAUUCAUUUUAUGAGAAGAAAUCUAUUUACGAAACAAAGUAAAAAAGAACAACUCUUAGCAACGGAUAUCUUGGUUCUC